UUAAGCGACUAAGCGUACACGGUGGAUGCCUAGGCAGUCAGAGGCGAUGAAGGGCGUGCUAAUCUGCGAUAAGCGUCGGUAAGGUGAUAUGAACCGUUACAACCGACGAUACCCGAAUGGGGAAACCCAGUGCAAUUCGUUGCACUAUUGCAUGGUGAAUACAUAGCCAUGCAAGGCGAACCGGGGGAACUGAAACAUCUAAGUACCCCGAGGAAAAGAAAUCAACCGAGAUUCCCCCAGUAGCGGCGAGCGAACGGGGAAGAGCCCAGAGUCUGAAUCAGUUUGUGUGUUAGUGGAAGCGUCUGGAAAGUCGCACGGUACAGGGUGAUAGUCCCGUACACAAAAACACACUUGCUGUGAACUCGAUGAGUAGGGCGGGACACGUGACAUCCUGUCUGAAUAUGGGGGGACCAUCCUCCAAGGCUAAAUACUCCUGACUGACCGAUAGUGAACCAGUACCGUGAGGGAAAGGCGAAAAGAACCCCGGCGAGGGGAGUGAAAUAGAACCUGAAACCGUGUACGUACAAGCAGUGGGAGCACCUUCGUGGUGUGACUGCGUACCUUUUGUAUAAUGGGUCAGCGACUUAUAUUUUGUAGCAAGGUUAACCGAAUAGGGGAGCCGUAGGGAAACCGAGUCUUAACUGGGCGUCUAGUUGCAAGGUAUAGACCCGAAACCCGGUGAUCUAGCCAUGGGCAGGUUGAAGGUUGGGUAACACUAACUGGAGGACCGAACCGACUAAUGUUGAAAAAUUAGCGGAUGACUUGUGGCUGGGGGUGAAAGGCCAAUCAAACCGGGAGAUAGCUGGUUCUCCCCGAAAGCUAUUUAGGUAGCGCCUCGUGAACUCAUCUUCGGGGGUAGAGCACUGUUUCGGCUAGGGGGUCAUCCCGACUUACCAAACCGAUGCAAACUCCGAAUACCGAAGAAUGUUAUCACGGGAGACACACGGCGGGUGCUAACGUCCGUCGUGAAGAGGGAAACAACCCAGACCGCCAGCUAAGGUCCCAAAGUCAUGGUUAAGUGGGAAACGAUGUGGGAAGGCAUAGACAGCCAGGAUGUUGGCUUAGAAGCAGCCAUCAUUUAAAGAAAGCGUAAUAGCUCACUGGUCGAGUCGGCCUGCGCGGAAGAUGUAACGGGGCUAAACCAUGCACCGAAGCUGCGGCAGCGACACUUAGGUGUUGUUGGGUAGGGGAGCGUUCUGUAAGCCGUUGAAGGUGACCUGUGAGGGUUGCUGGAGGUAUCAGAAGUGCGAAUGCUGACAUAAGUAACGAUAAUGCGGGUGAAAAACCCGCACGCCGGAAGACCAAGGGUUCCUGUCCAACGUUAAUCGGGGCAGGGUGAGUCGACCCCUAAGGCGAGGCUGAAAAGCGUAGUCGAUGGGAAACAGGUUAAUAUUCCUGUACUUGGUGUUACUGCGAAGGGGGGACGGAGAAGGCUAGGCUAGCCGGGCGACGGUUGUCCCGGUUUAAGCAUGUAGGCGGAGCGACUUGGUAAAUCCGGUUGCUUAUCAACGCUGAGGUGUGAUGACGAUGCACUACGGUGCAGAAGUAGUUGAUGCCAUGCUUCCAGGAAAAGCCUCUAAGCAUCAGGUAACAUUAAAUCGUACCCCAAACCGACACAGGUGGUCAGGUAGAGAAUACUCAGGCGCUUGAGAGAACUCGGGUGAAGGAACUAGGCAAAAUGGUGCCGUAACUUCGGGAGAAGGCACGCUGGCAUUAGGUAAAGGGACUUGCUCCCGGCGCCGAAGCCAGUCGCAGAUACCAGCUGGCUGCAACUGUUUAAUAAAAACACAGCACUGUGCAAACACGAAAGUGGACGUAUACGGUGUGACGCCUGCCCGGUGCUGGAAGGUUAAUUGAUGGGGUCAGCCUUACGGCGAAGCUCUUGAUCGAAGCCCCAGUAAACGGCGGCCGUAACUAUAACGGUCCUAAGGUAGCGAAAUUCCUUGUCGGGUAAGUUCCGACCUGCACGAAUGGCGUAAUGAUGGCCAGGCUGUCUCCACCCGAGACUCAGUGAAAUUGAACUCGCUGUGAAGAUGCAGUGUACCCGCGGCAAGACGGAAAGACCCCGUGAACCUUUACUAUAGCUUGACACUGAACAUUGAGCCUUGAUGUGUAGGAUAGGUGGGAGGCAUUGAAGUGUGGACGCCAGUCUGCAUGGAGCCAACCUUGAAAUACCACCCUUUAAUGUUUGAUGUUCUAACUCGGCCCCGUGAUCCGGGGUGAGGACAGUGUCUGGUGGGUAGUUUGACUGGGGCGGUCUCCUCCCAAAGAGUAACGGAGGAGCACGAAGGUUAGCUAAUCACGGUCGGACAUCGUGAGGUUAGUGCAAAGGCAUAAGCUAGCUUGACUGCGAGAGUGACGGCUCGAGCAGGUACGAAAGUAGGUCUUAGUGAUCCGGUGGUUCUGAAUGGAAGGGCCAUCGCUCAACGGAUAAAAGGUACUCCGGGGAUAACAGGCUGAUACCGCCCAAGAGUUCAUAUCGACGGCGGUGUUUGGCACCUCGAUGUCGGCUCAUCACAUCCUGGGGCUGAAGUAGGUCCCAAGGGUAUGGCUGUUCGCCAUUUAAAGUGGUACGCGAGCUGGGUUUAGAACGUCGUGAGACAGUUCGGUCCCUAUCUGCCGUGGGCGUUGGAAGAUUGAGAGGGGCUGCUCCUAGUACGAGAGGACCGGAGUGGACGAAUCACUGGUGUUCGGGUUGUCAUGCCAAUGGCAUUGCCCGGUAGCUAAAUUCGGAAGAGAUAACCGCUGAAAGCAUCUAAGCGGGAAACUUGCCUCGAGAUGAGUCUUCCCUGGGGCUUUAAGCCCCCUGAAGGAACGUUAAAGACUAUGACGUUGAUAGGCUGGGUGUGUAAGUGCAGCGAUGCAUUGAGCUAACCAGUACUAAUGAUCCGUGAGGCUUAACCUU
rnacentral:rRNA from 1 species